GACGAACGCUGGCGGCGUGCUUAACACAUGCAAGUCGAACGGUAAGGCCCUUCGGGGUACACGAGUGGCGAACGGGUGAGUAACACGUGGGUGAUCUGCCCUGCACUUCGGGAUAAGCCUGGGAAACUGGGUCUAAUACCGGAUAGGACCACUGCCUGCAUGGGUGGUGGUGGAAAGCCUUUGCGGUGUGGGAUGGGCCCGCGGCCUAUCAGCUUGUUGGUGGGGGGAUGGCCUACCAAGGCGACGACGGGUAGCCGGCCUGAGAGGGUGACCGGCCACACUGGGACUGAGAUACGGCCCAGACUCCUACGGGAGGCAGCAGUGGGGAAUAUUGCACAAUGGGCGCAAGCCUGAUGCAGCGACGCCGCGUGAGGGAUGACGGCCUUCGGGUUGUAAACCUCUUUCAGCACCGACGAAGCGCAAGUGACGGUAGGUGCAGAAGAAGGACCGGCCAACUACGUGCCAGCCGCCGCAGUAACAC
rnacentral:rRNA from 1 species